rnacentral:rRNA from 1 species
AGUGAACGCUGGCGGCGUGCUUAACACAUGCAAGUCGAACGAGAACGGAUUAUAGCUUGCUAUAAUUGUCAGCUAAGUGGCGCACGGGUGAGUAAUGUAUAGGUAAUAUGCCUCUUACUAAGGGAUAACAAAUGGAAACGUUUGCUAAUACCUUAUACUCCUUAUUAACAGAAGUUAAUAAGGGAAAGAUUUAUUGGUAAGAGAUUAGCCUGUAUUGUAUCAGUUAGUUGGUGGGGUGAUGGCCUACCAAGACUAUGACACAUAACUGGUUUGAGAGGAUGAUCAGUCACACUGGAACUGAGACACGGUCCAGACUCCUACGGGAGGCAGCAGUGGGGAAUAUUGCACAAUGGACGGAAGUCUGAUGCAGCAACGCCGCGUGGAGGAUGACACAUUUCGGUGCGUAAACUCCUUUUAUAUGAGAAGAUAAUGACGGUAUUAUAUGAAUAAGCACCGGCUAACUCCGUGCCAGCCGCCGCAGUAAUAC